UUAAUCGGAAUUACUGGGCGUAAAGCGCACGCAGGCGGUUUGUUAAGUCAGAUGUGAAAUCCCCGGGCUCAACCUGGGAACUGCAUUUGAAACUGGCAAGCUAGAGUCUCGUAGAGGGGGGUAGAAUUCCAGGUGUAGCGGUGAAAUGCGUAGAGAUCUGGAGGAAUACCGGUGGCGAAGGCGGCCCCCUGGACGAAGACUGACGCUCAGGUGCGAAAGCGUGGGGAGCAAACAGGAUUAGAUACCCUGGUAGUCCACGCUGUAAACGAUGUCGAUUUGGAGGUUGUGCCCUUGAGGCGUGGCUUCCGGAGCUAACGCGUUAAAUCGACCGCCUGGGGAGUACGGCCGCAAGGUUAAAACUCAAAUGAAUUGACGGGGGCCCGCACAAGCGGUGGAGCAUGUGGUUUAAUUCGAUGCGACGCGAAGAACCUUACCUACUCUUGACAUCCAGAGAACUUUCCAGAGAUGGAUUGGUGCCUUCGGGAACUCUGAGA
rnacentral:rRNA from 1 species